rnacentral:tRNA from 1 species
GGGGCUGGGGCUCAGUAGCAGAGCCUCCGCUUGACAUGCAGAAGGUCCCAGGUUCAAUCCCGGGCAGCUCCA